rnacentral:lncRNA from 1 species
UUGUUAAUUAAUGAUGGGAAAUCAAGUGCAACUGGCUUUCCCUCAGUAACACUAAGAGCAAAUGGUGAUUUCGUGCUACCUGAAAAAGUUGAUAAAUUUGGAAGACAAGGCUCGAGAGUCUUGGCUGAUAAUAUUUAUUACAACACAAAAGAAAUCAUAGGAGGUCAUGGUCGAAGCCACCAUCAUUCAUUGCAACCUGGUAAUGUUGGUCGUAUUUUAUCAGAAAUCCCAUCAGGUCCAGAUCCCAUUCAUAACCCCGAUUCCCCUAGUGCACGUGUUUAUGGUUGAUGUGUGGAUGGAAUAGAUGUAUUCAAUAUUUAUAAAAUAAAUUGUGAGAUUCUGUAUACACUUGAUGUACUAGUUCAAUGUUAAUAAUUAAAUGUUAUAAACUCAAGUUAUAGAGUUCAUGAGUUAUCUCUAUUUAUAUUUCUCAACUAUUAGCCUUUUUAUUUCUCGUUGCAUCGGUUUGGAAUAUCUAUAAUAAUAUCUAUAUUUUGCAAGUACAAAAAUACUUUACAAAGUUAUAGUUCUUUUUCAAAAAUGUAUUGAUAAGUACAUAGAUUAUCAAAGGGGUUCAUUCAAUCAAUUCCAAAUCCAACCAUUAUGUAAAUUGGAGCAUGGAAAAAAUAUAGAUACAAUUAUUGAAUUUUCUUCCACCUUAAAGAAUAUCCAACCUGGCGAUGUUUUCUAUCACACUUUCUUAAUAUCACAAAACAUUCUCUAGGGCCUUGGAAUUAAUAUUGACAGGAACAUGACACUUUGGCUAAAGGGUGCUUCUUGCUUACAUCGUCAUCUUCAUCACCACUGAUGUCAUUAUCCUUGUAGCACGACUCCCCACAUUUUGGGCAUUGGUUAAGUUUUUGAUAAUAUUUCCUCUCUAAUUGCAAUAAUUACAACAUGCAUAUUUUUUGACAUAAUCCAAACAAGUGGACACAAUAGAUUCUUGGCUUCAAAACUGUGGUUUGGACAAAUUUCUACCUUCUAGAAGCAUCUCUUUCAGCAAUUCAAGAAAUUAUAUUUUAAAUUUUUAUCUGUCCAUCAUCUUUUUUUCCUUCAAAUCAAAAAUAUUAAAAAAUAGUCGAUAUACAUGUAAAAUUUGUGAACCUCUUAAAUAAAAACUAAUCCUUCUCACUAAAUAAAGUAUCACACAUAUGGGCUUUCCGAAAAGAAGAUUCUCCAAUUUCACUGGUCAUAUCUUAUAGUCUAUCAUCCAUAUCUACAUUAACUUUGUAUCUAUGUGACUUCAUAGUUUGGAAUUCAUCUACUUCAGCCUGUCACAUCCAUGUUGUAUAAUUUAGAAUAAAUUUUUCACAACCUAGGUGAUUGAAAAUUACUUUCUUUUAAAAAGAAUACAUUCCAACAUAUAACAUAAGGACCAUAAAAGAUUCCAUUGUUGUUGGAAGUGUUUUUUUCCGUGAAUUCAAGAAAUUCAAGUAUUGCUUCCACAUACUUAUAAGAUAAAUAUGAAAUCUACAUUUUGUAGUAUUUGGUGGAAUCUCCCUCAACGGGUACUUAUAAUGUCUUCAACACUCUUUAGAUAGAGAGAAUAAGAUAAUACGCUUGUAGCACUAUAUACUAGGGACCAUAACUUACAUAUAUAGUGAUGAUCAGUUAGGAUUCACGUUAUUCAAAAAUGGACAAUAUUGAUAUACUCAUAUUUGAGUCCAUAUCAAACUAAAUAAUUAAUUAAUUAAUUUUCAAAAUAUAAUCUUAAUUAUUUUUUUGUCUUUAUUUGAUCACUUAAUCAUAAUAAUUAAUUUAAAAGUAUGACCACAUAAUAAUUAGUAGAAUGAAAGAAUUAAAUAAUAUUUAAAUAUAGUAUAUUCCAACACAUUUUACACGGAGGUCUAAUAGAAAUUCGGUUCAAUAGUAUACCUUACUAAUUUUCAUAAAAUUUAUCAUUUUGGAUGGUAUAAUUAUUGUCAAGAAACAAUAAUUAUUUAAUGAUUUUAUUAAAACAAAAAAUAUGAAAUAUAUGUUUAUUUUCUAUCUUUAUUUUUAUAAAAUUCAUUUUUUUUGACUAAAAUGAAUAAAUGUUCAUAUGGAGACAACUUUUUAAAAGGUUGUGUUAGGUGAAACAAUAUUCUACUAGUUACUAGUAUAUGUAUAUAUACAUCCACUGUAUGUCUAACUUAAAUUAUAUUUCAAAGUUAGCACCAUAUUCGAAUAACAUGCUACAAAUGAUAAUGGUGCAAAAAAUUCUUUCCUACCUUCUCUUGAUCAAUGUUGCUCAUUGGUAUUGUUAAUUAAUGAUGGGAAAUCAAGUGCAACUGGCUUUCCCUCAGUAACACUAAGAGCAAAUGGUGAUUUCGUGCUACCUGAAAAAGUUGAUAAAUUUGGAAGACAAGGCUCGAGAGUCUUGGCUGAUAAUAUUUAUUACAACACAAAAGAAAUCAUAGGAGGUCAUGGUCGAAGCCACCAUCAUUCAUUGCAACCUGGUAAUGUUGGUCGUAUUUUAUCAGAAAUCCCAUCAGGCCCAGAUCCCAUUCAUAGCCCCGAUUCCCCUAGUGCACGUGUUUAUGGUUGAUAUGUGGAUGGAAUAGAUGUAUUCAAUAUUUUAAAAAUAAAUUGUGAGAUUCUGUAUACACUUGAUGUCCUAGUUCAAUGUUAAUAAUUAAAUGUUAUCAACUCAAGUUAUAGAGUUCAUGAGUUAUCUCUAUUUAUAUUUUUCAACUAUUAG